AGAUUGAACGCUGGCGGCAUGCCUAACACAUGCAAGUCGAACGGGAGUAGCAAUACUCUAGUGGCGGACGGGUGAGGAAUACGUAGGAAUUUGCCCUUAAGUGGGGGAUAACCCGCGGAAACCCGGAUUAAUACCGCAUGACCUCGAAAGAGCAAAGUGGGGGAUCGCAAGACCUCACGCUUUUGGAGAAGCCUACGUCGGAUUAGCUAGUUGGUGAGGUAAUGGCUCACCAAGGCGACGAUCCGUAACUGGUCUGAGAGGAUGAUCAGUCACACCGGAACUGAGACACGGUCCGACUCCUAGGGAGCAGCAGUGGGAAUAUGGACAAGUGGGCG
rnacentral:rRNA from 1 species